rnacentral:rRNA from 1 species
GACGAACGCUGGCGGCGGGCUUAACACAUGCAAGUCGAACGGAAAGGCCCUGCUGUUUGGGGGUUCGCUGGUGGCGAACGGGUGGGUAACACGUGAGUGGCCUGCCGUUUGCUUUGGGAUGACUUCAGCAAACUGGGGCAGAUACCAGAUAGUAACUUCUGCUGCAUGGUGGGGGUUGGAAUGGGUCGGCGGUUGGUGAUGGACGCGCGGCUGAUCUGCUUGUUGGUGGGGUAGUGGCUUUCCCAGGCUUUGACGGGUAGCCGGCCUGAGAGGGGUAACGGCCACAUUGGGACUGAGAUAGGGAGCAGACUGCUACGGGGGGCAGUAGUGGGGAACAUGGCACAGUGGGCGGAAGCCUGUGGAAGAGACGCCGCGUGUGGGAUGAAGGCUCUGGGGUUGUAAACCGAUUUCGGCUGUGACGAAGCGUGAGUGACGGUAAUGGGUAAAGAAGCACCGGCUAACUCCGUG